rnacentral:rRNA from 1 species
GACAGAGGGGGCAAGCGUUGCUCGGAAUUACUGGGCGUAAAGGGCGCGUAGGCGGGAUGGCAAGUCGGUCGUGAAAUCCCUCGGCUCAACUGAGGAUCGUCGAUCGAUACUGCCGUUCUUGAGGAUUGCAGAGGAGACUGGAAUUCCCGGUGUAGCGGUGAAAUGUGUAGAGAUCGGGAGGAACACCGGUGGCGAAGGCGGGUCUCUGGGCAAUUCCUGACGCUGAGGCGCGAAAGCGUGGG